rnacentral:lncRNA from 1 species
CGACGUUCCCAGGACAAAGGAAACAGAAAAUGGUAAAGCAGCACAUUUAAACUUCAGCUGGAAUAACUGCCAAGUGAUUCAUGCCUAUGUAGGCGAAUAUAACGAUUGUAUCUGCAGCCCCAGUGUGCCAUU